rnacentral:misc_RNA from 1 species
GAUGAAGAACGCAGCGAAAUGCGAUAAGUAAUGUGAAUUGCAGAAUUCCGUGAAUCAUCGAAUCUUUGAACGCACAUUGCGCCCCCUGGCAUUCCGGGGGGCAUGCCUGUCCGAGCGUCAUUUCUGCCCUCAAGCACGGCUUGUGUGUUGGGUGUGGUCCCCCCGGGGACCUGCCCGAAAGGCAGCGGCGACGUCCAUCUGGUCCUCGAGCGUAUGGGGCUCUGUCACUCGCUCGGGAAGGACCUGCGGGGGUUGGUCACCACUAUAUUUUACCACGGUUGACCUCGGAUCAGGUAGGAGUUACCCGCUGAACUUAAGCAUAUCAAUAAGCGGAGGA